AUACGGAGGAUGCAAGCGUUAUCCGGAUUUAUUGGGUUUAAAGGGUGCGUAGGCGGAUGAUUAAGCGUGAGGUGAAAUGCCACUGCUCAACAGUGGAACUGCCCAGCGAACUGGUUGUCUUGAAUGCUCCUGCCGUGGGAGGAAUGUGUGGUGUAGCGGUGAAAUGCAUAGAGAUCACACAGAACACCGAUUGCGAAGGCAUCUCACGAAGGGGUGAUUGACGCUGAGGCACGAAAGCGUGGGGAUCAAACAGGAUUAGAUACCCUGGUAGUCCACGCAGUAAACGAUGAUAACUAACCGCUGGGUCGUAGUGAUUCAGUGGCCAAGCGAAAGCGAUAAGUUAUCCACCUGGGGAGUACGACCGCAAGGUUGAAACUCAAAGGAAUUGACGGGG
rnacentral:rRNA from 1 species